UACGAAGGGGCUAGCGUUGCUCGGAAUCACUGGGCGUAAAGGGUGCGUAGGCGGGUCUUUAAGUCAGGGGUGAAAUCCUGGAGCUCAACUCCAGAACUGCCUUUGAUACUGAAGAUCUUGAGUUCGGGAGAGGUGAGUGGAACUGCGAGUGUAGAGGUGAAAUUCGUAGAUAUUCGCAAGAACACCAGUGGCGAAGGCGGCUCACUGGCCCGGUACUGACGCUGAGGUGCGAAAGCGUGGGAGCAACAGG
rnacentral:rRNA from 1 species